UGGGGAAUAUUGGACAAUGGGCGAAAGCCUGAUCCAGCCAUGCCGCGUGAGUGAAGAAGGCCUUCGGGUUGUAAAGCUCUUUUAGUCGGAAAGAAAAGAUCAUAAUGAACAAUUAUGAUUCAUGACGGUACCGACAGAAAAAGCACCGGCUAACUACGUGCCAGCAGCCGCGGUAAUACGUAGGGUGCGAGCGGUAAUCGGAAUUACUGGGCGUAAAGGGUGCGGAGGCGGGUUUGUAAGUCAGAUGUGAAAUCCCCGGGCUUAACCUGGGAAUUGCGUUUGAAACUGCAAGACUAGAGUGCAGCAGAGAGGAGUGGAAUUCCAUGUGUAGCAGUGAAAUGCGUAGAGAUGUGGAAGAACACCGAUGGCGAAGGCGGCUCCCUGGGCUGACACUGACGCUCAUGCACGAAAGCGUGGGGAGCAAACA
rnacentral:rRNA from 1 species